rnacentral:rRNA from 1 species
AUACGGAGGGUGCAAGCGUUAAUCGGAAUUACUGGGCGUAAAGCGCACGUAGGCGGCUUGUUAAGUCAGAUGUGAAAGCCCCGGGCUCAACCUGGGAACUGCAUUUGAUACUGGCAGGCUAGAGUAUGGUAGAGGCAAGUGGAAUUCCGGGUGUAGCGGUGAAAUGCGUAGAUAUCAGGACGAACACCAGUGGCGAAGGCGACUAGCUGGACCAAUACUGACGCUGAGGUGCGAAAGCGUGGGGAGCAAACAGGAUUAGAAACCCUAGUAGUCC